UUUUCUUGCACUGACACCUUCAUUUGCUACAACCGCAGUCCAAUGUACCUCAACUCUUUGAGCUUCUGCAUAUAAAUAGAACAUCAUACAGCAGCAGGGCAUGUGAAAAAGGACUGAUGGUGUUUAUAGUUUCCCAUUUACCCAACAGAAAUUGCUUUUGAGAGUCUGUUUAUUCAAUCACGGCUUCAAGAGUUAACAUUUCGGGUACAGUGACCCUUCUUCGGAAACAUUCCUUGCGUUUUUUGGAGGAUUAUCAAUCCUGGCUGGAUCUGGGAGUGGCAAAUGCAGUGCACAGCAAAAACAUCUUUAAUUGUGGCUACUUGUUCGAUCACCUGCUGCCGCUUCCUGUUAAAUCAAACACAGUCAAAAAUCAGGACAAUGCCAACAGGCCACAGGUUUUGAGGGACCGGGAGACACAGGCAAAGGAAUGAUUGAAUGGACAACCAGUUAAAAGUUGGACAUGACGGCUCUCACCAAUUCAAAGCAUUCCAGAAUUGCUAGCUUUCUGCUAACAGCACAGGAGCAAGGGAACAGGAUCCUUUCUGCUGACUGUGACUCCAUACAGCUGCACUAUUUUCUGCUUGGUUUGCAUCAUUGCUGCAGACGACUUACGAAAGAAAAGAUGACUCAGCUAGAUUUCAAAACAUUGGCUAAUUUCUGCACACAGAGACCUCCAUGCACCAAUGUCAUAAUGAUCAAAUAAUCCAUUUUUUGAGAUAAUCCGAUGUUGAUUGAGAGAUAAGUAUUGACAAAGAUGCUGUAAUUCCCCUGUAGUUCUCCUGUGAAAUAGUGCCUUUAGUUCUUUCACAUCUAUUUGGCAGAGGGGGCCUUGGUUUAACAUUGGGUCUGAGAGAUGGCACCAUUAACAAUGCCGAGAUCCCUCUGUUCUGCAGUGAGAGGUCGGCCUAGAUUUUUGCGUUAUAUUCUGCUGUGUGAGAAAUAAUCAGUCAGUAGAAGGCAAAUAAUAAAAUGCAAUUUACCAUAUAGGACAUCUCUCCUUGGGUUAAACUGCAUUCCACUUCAGACGAAAGCAGCAAAACCAAACAUAUGACACCAUUGCUGUUUGGUAGAAAACCAUUGUACAAUUCAUAGUGGAAAUGGACAACAAUGGGGUCAAGUUUUAUAUUUCCAUCACUAUUUACUUUCAUUGAGAAACUUAGAUGAAGGAGCUGUGCUAUAAUGCAAGAUGCUUUCAUGCAGAAAACAAGUACAAGGAAAACAAGGUAAAUAGUGCAGUGAAGGAUCAGAGUAUAAAAGCUUAAGGAAGAUUAAAGAAUUCUACAGGUUUGAGACCUGAGAAAAAAAUGGAAAUGAAUUGCUCAGACUUAAUUUUAAUGCAAAUUUCCCUAAAGAGGAAAUCAAUACAAUGGGCAUGAUGGAAUGGGAUUUCCUACAUAAAAUAUCUGUCCUUGAAUCAAAAUCUGUUCAACCCCAGAUAAGUGGUCCAAAAAUAUUCAAGAUCGGAAAAACAUUUCACGGUGAAACGUUUAGUACCUCAAUUCCAAUGAGUCCCACUAUACAGUGUGCCAAAUGCAUAUAAAGCCAAAAAUAAUGACUAAUGUUUUUCAAAGGUUUACUUUCUAGGAAGAAUACUUCAAGUGUAAAAAUAAUAAACCAACAUUGUUGUCAAGAUGUGUGAAGAAAUAAGUC